rnacentral:rRNA from 1 species
CAGCCGCCACGGUAAUACAGAGGGUGCGAGCGUUAAUCGGAUUUACUGAGCGUAAAGCGUGCGUAGGCGGCUAAUUGAGUCGGAUGUGAAAUCCCCGAGCUUAACUUGGGAAUUGCAUUCGAUACUGGUUAGCUAGAGUGUGGGAGAGGAUGGUAGAAUUCCAGGUGUAGCGGUGAAAUGCGUAGAGAUCUGGAGGAAUACCGAUGGCGAAGGCAGCCAUCUGGCCUAACACUGACGCUGAGGUACGAAAGCAUGGGGAGCAAACAGGAUUAGAUACCCGGGUAGUCCCUGUCUCUUAUAC